UGCUCUUACAGUUUCUCAGUGUGAGAGCUGUGCUCAUUGAAACCAGCCCAGGGAUAGAGUUGCACAGAUAUCACUGUAAACUCAUCUGCGUGGGCCUAAAUGUGCAGCAGAGCAAAAAUCACAGGGAACAUCAGAGUGAGUCAAAAAAAGGAUUUUUCUGAUCCAGAUCCUGACACUUCACCAUUACAGAAUGUGAAGAUGUCCCAGUGUCACUGCAGAGCUGUCUGCACUCAUCAGACACACUGGAUUGACUUCUCCCCUCUGCAGAUUCAGUUCACCAAGGAGAUUCAAAAUCAGGGUGAGAGAAAAGGAGAAAAGAGAGAGGAGGAACUGAAGCACCACUUCAUAGCAUCUCUGUCAGCAAAAUAACCCAGUAACUCCAGUAUUAUUAACACAUAAAU